UGCAGUUCAUUAGCAUCCAAUCCAAUCCUCAUCUCCCCCUUCACAGAGAAGAACAAUGGCCAUGCAGUGGCUCCUCAAGGUCUUCCAGCACAUCAUUUCUUGCGGAGAAGAAGACGCUCCAAUCCGGUACUAUACCAGAGAUGACAACAUAGUCUCGUUCCCGAGCUCGCCUCUCCUACAGAGCACGACAACUGUGGUGACGCCACCACCUGUGAUUCAUUCCUUCCAGGUGAGCCCGCCGCCGAAUAGGCCACCAUCCAUAGUUCCCUGGUCCACCGCUUUAGCCAACAAACCAAUCAAUACUCUUCCGUCAAAGCCUUCUCCAUCUGUUGGUCAGAGCACGAGGCCACCGCCCAUAGCUCAGUUGUCUCCUGCGUUGGCAACUACUAAUAUCCUGUCAAAGGCUUCUCCAUCGCCCGGUCUGAGUAAAAGGCCUCCACCACCAAUAGGUCACUCAUCUAGUACCACCACCCAUAGCUCACUCCUGCAGAGCACGACACCGACGACGGUGACGCCACCAAUUGUGAUUCAUUCCUCUCCGGUGAGCCCGUCGCUGUCUAGGCUACCAUCCAUACUUCCAUCCACCACUUUAAACAACAAAUCAAGCAAUACUGUUUCAUCAAAGCCUUCUUCGUCGGUUGGUCAGAGCACGAGGCCGCCGCCUAUAGCUCAG
rnacentral:misc_RNA from 1 species